AUGUACAUGCCUACAUCGUUAAUGCAUUGUAUCCCAUUAGAAAUCUGUAGUUAAAUGUGCUUUGAAUAGAGUAGUAUUGGGAUGGGUGACCUCCAAGGAAUUCAUAGCAUUUUACAUA
rnacentral:rRNA from 1 species